GAUGAACGCUGGCGGCGUGCCUAAUACAUGCAAGUCGAGCGAACGGACGAGAAGCUUGCUUCUCUGAUGUUAGCGGCGGACGGGUGAGUAACACGUGGAUAACCUACCUAUAAGACUGGGAUAACUUCGGGAAACCGUAGCUAAUACCGGAUAAUAUUUUGAACCGCAUGGUUCAAAAGUGAAAGACGGUUUUGCUGUCACUUAUAGAUGGAUCCGCGCUGCAUUAGCUAGUUGGUAAGGUAACGGCUUACCAAGGCAACGAUGCAUAGCCGACCUGAGAGGGUGAUCGGCCACACUGGAACUGAGACACGGUCCAGACUCCUACGGGAGGCAGCAGUAGGGAAUCUUCCGCAAUGGGCGAAAGCCUGACGGAGCAACGCCGCGUGAGUGAUGAAGGUCUUCGGAUCGUAAAACUCUGUUAUUAGGGAAGAACAUAUGUGUAAGUAACUGUGCACAUCUUGACGGUACCUAAUCAGAAAGCCACGGCUAACUACGUG
rnacentral:rRNA from 1 species